rnacentral:rRNA from 1 species
GAUGAACGCUGGCGGCGUGCCUAAUACAUGCAAGUCGAGCGAACGGACGAGAAGCUUGCUUCUCUGAUGUUAGCGGCGGACGGGUGAGUAACACGUGGAUAACCUACCUAUAAGACUGGGAUAACUUCGGGAAACCGGAGCUAAUACCGGAUAAUAUUUUGAACCGCAUGGUUCAAAAGUGAAAGACGGUCUUGCUGUCACUUAUAGAUGGAUCCGCGCUGCAUUAGCUAGUUGGUAAGGUAACGGCUUACCAAGGCAACGAUGCAUAGCCGACCUGAGAGGGUGAUCGGCCACACUGGAACUGAGACACGGUCCAGACUCCUACGGGAGGCAGCAGUAGGGAAUCUUCCGCAAUGGGCGAAAGCCUGACGGAGCAACGCCGCGUGAGUGAUGAAGGUCUUCGGAUCGUAAAACUCUGUUAUUAGGGAAGAACAUAUGUGUAAGUAACUGCGCACAUCUUGACGGUACCUAAUCAGAAAGCCACGGCUAACUACGUG